GUGCCAGCCGCCGCGGUAACACCAGCGGCUCAAGUGGUAGCCAAUUUUAUUGGGCCUAAAGCGUCCGUAGCCGGACUGGCAAGUCCCUUGUGAAAUCGGGUGGCUUAACCGCUCGGCGUGCAGGGGAAACUGUCAGUCUUGGGGUCGGCAGGCGCCGAGGGUACUCCGGGGGUAGCGGUGAAAUGCUAUAAUCCCCGGGGGACCGCCAGUGGCGAAAGCGCUCGGCGAGGCCGAACCCGACGGUGAGGGACGAAAGCCAGAGGAGCGAACCGGAUUAGAUACCCGGGUAGUCCUGGCCGCAAAGAAUGUGGGCUAGGUGCUUGGUGUUCCUCGAGAACGCUAGGUGCCG
rnacentral:rRNA from 1 species